rnacentral:rRNA from 1 species
GUGGGGAAUCUUCCGCAAUGGACGAAAGUCUGACGGAGCGACGCCGCGUGAGUGAAGAAGGCCUUCGGGUCGUAAAGCUCUGUCAUCAGGGACGAACGGCCGGUGGAGUGGAAAGCCACCGGAUUGACGGUACCUGAGAAGGAAGCCACGGCUAACUACGUGCCAGCAGCCGCGGUAAUACGUAGGUGGCAAGCGUUGUCCGGAAUUAUUGGGCGUAAAGCGCGCGCAGGUGGGAUCUUAAGUCCAUUUUUAAAGUUCGGAGCUCAACUCCGUGAUGGGAUGGAAACUGGGAUUCUUGAGUACCGGAGAGGAAAGCGGAAUUCCCCGUGUAGCGGUGAAAUGCGUAGAUAUGGGGAGGAACACCAGUGGCGAAGGCGGCUUUCUGGACGGUGUCUGACACUGAGGCGCGAAAGCCAGGGGAGCGAACGGGAUUAGAAACCCUGGUAGUCCC